CUGCGAGUGUGUGUGCCGAACGAGGAGCAAGGAGCUUGUGCGAGCGAGUGUGCGAGCGGGGGUGCGCGUGUGAGUGUGCGUGCGCGUGGCGCGGGCGCCGUCGCUGCUCGGAGCCUGGCCGGGCCGGGGUCCGCGGGCUUCAGCGCGUGCGCUUGGCCUGCGGGGAGCCCAGGUCCCACGCGGCCCGCAACCAGACAGGGCUGCGAAGGUGCAGGCGGGCCAAGCGCUGCGGACCCGGCGGGCUGCAGGAAGAACUAACUAUACCCCGAACAUCCGCUGUCAGCAGGCACAAGGCUGUGAUUCAAGAUGAGUGCCCGAAGCUUCCUCUGCCUGUGUGAAGAAGAUCCAGCAAGAGAAGGAAGCAGGGUUCCUGAAAGCCAGGCUGAUGAGGAAAACUCCUGUGCUGAGUUAACGUGGGCGUCUGAGUGGGCAGAGUCAGUGUAUGAACAGCACAGGUGCCCACCCCACCCCCACCCUGGCGGGAAUACUCUAUGAGGUCAAAGCUGGUCCCUGUGUCUGUCUUCAAGGACACAAGCCAAUUUAAAAAGAAAUCAUUCACUUAAAAAGAAUGUUUAGAUCAGCUCCCACUGGUGCAGACUGAUUGGUUAAUAUCAUCUCAACUUAGCGUGUUCUGAAAAUAAGGGUUACUAACCUUCACAGACAACCAGUGGUCUCAGGGAGCCACGAAGCUGUCUCGGGACUGCACACAAGACACACACAGGUGAAGCUGGAUGCAAGUCAGACCUGUGAACUAACUCCCCGCAACCGAGGGGGGAGGAAGUGACCACAUCAUCUCAUUGGCUCUGCAGAUCCAAGUCCACUCAAACGGCAAGCAUGGCCCAGAGUUGGAUGCACCCUCAGAUUCAACAGCCGACCACUGGCAUCCCUUUUUCCCCCUUCCACGGUGGUACAUGGAAUAAAAACACACCCCGGGCUUGCUGGAAUACCAAGGAAACAUUCAUGCCCAUGGAGAGAGGAGCCUUCACUAACCUUGAGUGGGAGAGAAUCAGCCAGGGCCUCUGCGGCACAUGGAAAUACUUGUCUUAAGUAGUUGGCUCUUAGAAAUCACAGCCCAGAUGCCUGAAGCAGAAGGAGAAGCACCUGUAGUGGCUGUCACCCUGCAGGCACCUCUGUUACUGGAGUCACCAAGAAACGGUAUUACGGGAGUCUUGGAAGUGAGAGUGCUCCUCUAAGGAGAGACCCAGGAACCUGUUGCUAAGGGGCCAGCAUGCAGGGUCCCUGCUGGGCCUGCAUAGAAGGAGCCCGGUGCUUAGUGGUUCCUUCCUGAAGCCUAGGCUAAGGAUUCUAUAUGGCUUCAUCCUCCGCUCUACUCAAGCAAAGACAAGCUUCAACUGCUGGGCCUAAGGCACAUGGAGCUCAACUCAACAACUGGGAAUGGAGGACCCCUCCAGAGACCCAGAAGACCCCCGCCCGGGGGGGGGGUGACAUCAGUUGGGGAGCUAUUAAUAACUGCCCUCCCCUCCCUGUCAUAUUUCCUGAACUGUGUGGGGAAGGCGAUUGUGAGGCGCUCUGCUGGAAUUUGGCAGCGCGGAGGCUUGGAGAGCAGCCCCAUGCUGGCUCCUAUUCAGCCGGCCAGUUUUCCUCGAGCUUUGGAAGUUUCACUCAGCCGUGCACUCAAUGGCUUCACAAAGCUGAUUACAAGCUUCAGCGCAUUCCUGAAGGAGCCAAAAGCGACGCAGGUGCAAACGAGCCGAGGGAGCCCCUUAUCCCGGUGACAGAAUGGGACAAGCUGGGAAAGGCUUGGACCACACAAAUCCAAGGCUCACCAGGCAGCAGAGAGCCUGCCUUGGGAACCGGGGGUCAUUAUCCGCCCUAUUCAGCGGGACCGGGGACCCUGGGGCCAAGGAGGCCGGCCGGGCGCAAGCGCCACCGCCAGUACGCGCCUGCAGCAGUGGGGACCCCGCUGGGCGUUGCAACCCGUCGGGAUGUUGGGCGCUGCGUUUGUUCCCACCGACAGCGGUCAGCGAAAUCCAUCCUGCGGGUGAAAGCCGGUGUCCAGGCUAACCGGGAUACAGGAGAAGGAGGGUAGCGAAGAUGCUCAGUGCGUGGACAGUGCGUAACUUUGUCUCCAUCACAGUCACUUAUCUGGAAACCUGCGGCUGGAUUAAUCGCUAUAUUCCCAAGAUGAGCGGUGCUGCAAUCCGCAGUGAACACGGGUGGGAACACGGAAGCUUCCCCUAGGUUCUUGCGGGGGCCAGCAGCUGGCCAGCUCCCUGCAGUGGAUGCUGCACAGUAGCUAGCACCUGUUUGGGCUCGGGUUGGGGGUCUACGAGCACUUAGGCGCACAGAAGAUGUGGAAGAGAGGAAGGAAACAGGCCUGUGGGGACUCCGGCCUGAGAGAGGUUGAUUAGCUCCCAGUAAAGGCACAGAACUGCCUAUAUAAAGAGCUUUUUAACCUGAAAAUGAUGCUGCUGAGUCUUCAGACCGUGGUCUAUUCAGAUGCAGAAAAAUGUUCCCUCCCAUCUUGAUCUCCCAGCCUCACCCCUACCACACCCACAGCUACUCCUUAGGCCCCUCCCCUGGAAUUUUCUCCUUCGGGAUCCUGGUCCUACAAGGGUUAGUAAUAUUUACUUAGGAACUGUGGGCGUGGAAAUAAAUCCUAGUUGUUCAGCCCCUUGCCCUACCUGUUCCAGUUAAAGACGGUGGGUUGUACCCAGGCAGUGGUGGCGCACGCCUUUAGUCCCAGCACUUGGGAGGCAGAGGCAGGCGGAUUUCUGAGUUUGAGGCCAGCCUGGUCUACAGAGUGAGUUCCAGGACAGCCAGGGCUGUACAGAGAAACCCUGUCUCAAAAAACCUAAAAUAUAAAAUAAAAUAAAAUAAGAUGGUGGAGUGUGUGGUGCCAAAGCUCUAGGGAGAAUACUUGUCUACAAAAACUUUCUCUGCUGAGGUCAAAGCAUCAGCUUCGAGGGAACUACCACUUGGUGUGUGAGGUCUCUGCGCCUGGGCAACGGUGUCUCUGUAGGUGUGAAAGCUGGGCAUCAGCUUGUGACAGCUUUAGGCCACAGAAGCCGAAACUGUGCGCCUCCAUUUUGUCAGCAUAUUAAACAUCCAAGAGGGUGCCUGGCCACCACAUAUGGCCCCUGAGCAUCCAACAUUCAGAAUGUCAUACACACUAGAUGUAGAGUUGCUGAAUGAGAAGGAGAUCAUUGAUUUCUUGAGAUGUUGGCUACAGAAAUGACAGUGCUUGGGAUGUGUUGGGUUAAAGAAAACACAUUAUUAAAGUGAGCCUGACUGCCAGCUGCUCUUGGAAGCCACUGUGGCCUUGGUAGCUCCUCUUUGCUGGCUCUGUGCCUUUCAGCGGCUGUCUGUGGUCUUUCCACGAUCCUCUAGGAAAUGGAAAGGGAAGAAACAAAUGCAGUGGAAAGGACUGAGCCUGCGAUCACUAGAGGCAGCCAGAGCCCCUCCCAGCUCCUCUCAAAGUUACCCUUGUAACAAUCAAAGCUUCCUCACUUGCAGCAGUAAAAAGAAGUAUACAUUGUAUUUAUUGCUGGAGUGGUAUUCUUUCUAGAUUAGCUUUAAUUCUGUUUAAUUACAUUGUGAUCAUUAACCGAGCUGCAACUUUUUGUUAUUAGAUAUUUUCUUUAUUUACAUUUAAAAUGUUAUCCCCCUUCCUAGUUUCCCCUACCAAAACCCCCUAUCCCAUCCCCACUCCCCCUGCUCCCCCAAUCCACCCACUCCCGCUUUCCUGUCUUGGCAUUCCCCUACACUGGGGCAUCGAGCCUUCACAGGACCAAGGGCCUCUCCUCCCAUUGAUGUCCAACAAGGCCAUUCCCUGCUACAUGUGCAUGCCCCGUGCUUUCACUGCUCUGUGAGUGGGCUGUGGGGGGAAAGGUGGUGCUGAAUUUCAUUCUGCAAAGCAAAGCAAGCAAAACAAAACAGUAUCAGAUCGUGAAUGUCACUGUGCUGAGCAUCCAGUGUGAAUGAUCAGGGCUCUACAGUCUAGAGCCCUUGUCUUGUGUGGACCACGGCAGGUGCCCACACUCUCAUCUCGAAAACAGAAAGAAGUGAAAGUAAUUUUAGAAGCAGUGUCUGAGAAUUUGAAUGUAUUUACAGACAGGAAGCCAUGGGUCCCUCCAUGUGGAGAUACAGAGACAAAGUGUGGAGCAGAGACUGAAGGAAAGGCCAUCCAGAGACUGCCCCACCUGGGGAUCCAUCCCAUAUACAGCUACCAAACUCAGAUACUAUUGUGAAUGCCAACAAGUGUGCAACUUUUGAAGAAUCUUGCUACUACUGUUGGAUGGAGGAACGUUGAUUCUAGGAGUGACUGUGCAAAUCCCAUGGCAUUACAAGGAAGCCUCUCUCUGCUAUUUUCAAACUUUUAGUCAGCACUUGACACUUUCUGGCUUUAAUUUUGCCUUACAAAUGAGUGUAACUGCCACCACUCAAACAAAACAGAAUUCUGAACAGAAAUUUGUCUUUUGUUGUCUAUACCAACCAAGAGUGAGUUCCUUCUCAAAAUUCCUUUUGGGGCUAACAUACACAUUUAGAAUGAUAUGAAAUGAGACUUAAACCAAGGAGGCCAUGAGGGAACAUGCUUAUAAAUGUCUAUUUUACAUGUAUUCAUUUACAUUUAUUCAUGCACUGGCAGUGUGCUUGCCAUGGUGAACAAGGAGGUUAGAAGACAGUCUUCAGGAGUCACUCCUCUCCUUCCAACUUGUGGGUCCCAGGGAUCUAACUCAGGCCACCUGGCUUGGCACCAACUGCCUUUGAGAUGUUGAACCAUCUUGCCAAUUCAAGUAAACUUGAUUAUUAAAGAUUCCAAAAUACUCUGUAUAAUAUUUUAGAUACCAGAGGUCUGAAAGUGAAAUUAUAAAAAGUAGAAAUUUUAUUUAGUCAUUUGGUGAUAAGAAAUGAAAAAAACCUGCUCCAUGCUUAUUGUCCUUAAUAUAUUCAAUUAAAGCACACCACGAAAAUUUUACAUGAAUAGGCUUGGCGUACAUACAAUAUCAUUCAAUUUAUUUACUUUAGGUAUUGUAUAACUAAUAUGAAAAAAAUGGGAAAAUGUGAAGUUAAAUCCACUACAUCAAUAAAGUGAAAGUAUCUC
rnacentral:lncRNA from 1 species